GGGCGGGCUUGGAAAUGGAGACAAACUCCUCCGAGCCGUUAAGGCUCAGCCGGACAGGGCUUAGGAGUCCCGAGCCCAGUCCUGUUCACCCCCAUUUUAUAGAAAGGGAAACUGAGGCCCAGACAGGGGAAAGUCACUUGCCGAGGUGUUUGCUGCAGACUGCGUUGACCGAACCUGCUUUUUCACAGCAGUCAGACAGCAAGCCCUCCCGUCCCUCCAGGACCCUAGUUCCUGGGGAGGAAGGCGUUCUCAGCGAUAAUGACCAGCAUUAAAGUGCUCCCCGUUACCGGCGUCACUGCCCCAGCCAGUGGAGGCCCCGGAGAGGGACUGAAGAUGUGUCACCUAACUUCUCUGAACCUUCCUCCCUCAAGGAGAACUGAUAAUCCCUAACUCACAGUUCUGUGAGGAUUGAAUGCCUUAAGCAUGCAGGUUAAGUGGCUACUGAAGGCAGUUUUUGUGGACAGAAACUGGUCCCAGCGUCAGAUCUGCGAUGCUGCCCAGGCAUGGUGGUGACCCUCUCUAAACAAGCACACUCAGAAUUUCCCUGGCUCGGCUGGGCGACUCAGAAGAAAACUGGCCAUCAGCUUCUGCCUCAAGCGGUGAAAAGAAAUUGCUGGACAUUGCAGAAAAAUCAGAAAAUGUCAGUAAGUUAAAAGAAAUCAGGCCAGGCACAGUGGCUCAAGCCUGUAAUCCCAGCACUCCGGGAAGCCGAGAUCACCUGAGGGCAGAUCACCUGAGGUGCUGUGGCAAGGAAGACAGAGCAUGUGUGUUGUGAACACUCAUUAGAGGAUCAUCCCUGCUGUGCCAGGUGCCAUGGCGCUGGAUGCAGAAAGCAGGACACAUGGAAAGAUGGUGUGUUCACAAAGAAUUUGGAAGAAAGCCAGAUGGUGACAAGAGUGUGUCUCUGAAUGCCCCUUUUGGGGGUCACUAAAAAUGCCCCAGGGUUUUUAGUUAGACCAAAAAGGAGGCUUCAAAGAGAUGACUUCUGAGCCGGGUUGUGAUACAUCUAGGAUGUCAACAGGCAGAGAAAGGGCAGGGACUGGGAGUAAGGAAAGAACAUCUGUUCAAGGCAAAACACUGAUUACCAAAGUUUCUAUCAUCCUUAUGUUGACAACGGACAUAAUUUUAACCUUUUGUAUAAGCCAGACUGUAAAGGAUUAUUAGCAGAAUAAAAGCAUCUAUUGGGCCUGGU
rnacentral:lncRNA from 1 species